GGUUCUUUUUCCACCUGCACUGUGAAUGUUUACAUGGUGUGUUCAAUAAAAACAUGGCAACGUUUCAUUCUUUGUGUAUUAUUAGUUUAAGCAGACUGUGAUUGUCUAUUGUGUGACUUAGAUGAUGAUCAGAUCACAUUUUAUGACCAAUUUGUGCAGAAAUCCAUAUCAUUCCAAAGGGUUCACAUACUUUUUCUUGCAACUGUAUAUCCC